rnacentral:lncRNA from 1 species
GUCUAUGUCAGCCAUGUUAAUUCAGUCUUUGCCAUGCUGUCUUUUCGUCUGCUGCCAUCCUGCUUCUGUUUGAGCCAGAGACCUCAUCGUCUAGAAAUCUAAUACUGACAGGCCUCUCUGGGACUCCUGAGAUGGGUACGGUCCAUCCAUGGAAACAUCCUGGGAGAUCGUGAUUGCUUCUUUCAUGGCUGCUAGAAGUCCAUUCCCACCGUCACCUCUGAGCGCGGGGCCAAAACACUCCGGGUGGCGAAUCAACAACCUCAGCACCUCAUAGGCGUUCUCCUCCACGCUCUCACCUUCAGGCAAGGAGAGAAGCGUAAAGAAAAGAAGCAUAAAACACAGAUCUGGUUCCCUUAAAGCUAAAGCCAGUUCAUUAUUAUCCAUAACAGAGGCUGCAGCCACGUCAAGGGGAGUGGAACCACGCAUGGAGGGCAAAGCUAAAAAAGAAAAUUCAUCACUUCCAUUUUUUUUCCCAUCAGAAAAUUGCAUUCUAAAUAAUGAUAUGCAGAGUCAAAACAAUUUAAUAAAAGAAACUCGUUGCACCCAAUUGUUUUAGAAUAGAAUUUGCAUAUUUUUCUUGGGUUGACACAAAUAAUUUCAGUUCUAC